UACGGGUGGCAGCAGUCGAGAAUCUUCGGCAAUGGGCGCAAGCCUGACCGAGCGACGCCGCGUGUGGGAUGAAGGCCCUUGGGUUGUAAACCACUGUCAGAGGGGAUGAAGUGCCAGAGAGCAAUCUCUCUGGUUUGACAUAGCCUCAGAGGAAGCACGGGCUAAGUUCGUGCCAGCAGCCGCGGUAAUACGAACUGUGCGAACGUUAUUCGGAAUCACUGGGCUUACAGGGUGCGUAGGCGGCUUGUUAAGUAGGGUGUGAAAGCCCCCGGCUCAACCGGGGAAUUGCGCCCUAAACUGGCGAGCUGGAGUGAGAUAGGGGUGUGUAGAACUUCCGGUGGAGCGGUGAAAUGUGUUGAUAUCGGAAGGAACGCCGGUGGCGAAAGCGACACACUGGAUCUUGUCUGACGCUGAGGCACGAAAGCCAGGGGAGCGAACGGGAUUAGAUACCCUAGUAGUCAUCUUUCUAGA
rnacentral:rRNA from 1 species